rnacentral:lncRNA from 1 species
CUAUGAUGUAGUACAUGUGUAUACAUGUGCUACACAACUUGUAUUACACCUACUAUACAACUCAUAUACAUGUGCUAGCUAUGAUGUAGUACAUGUGUAUACAUGUGCUAGACAACUUGUAUGUCAACACUCCCCCUCAAGUUGGAGCAUAUAUAUUGAUCAUGCCCAACUUGUUACAGAUAUAUUCAACUCGAGCUCCAUUCAAAGCUUUUGUGAAAAUGUCUCCCAAUUGAUCUCCAGUUCUAACAUGACCUGUAGAGAUGAGCUUUUGUUGAAUCUUUUCACGAACAAAGUGACAAUCUAUUUCAAUGUGCUUAGUCCUUUCGUGAAAUACAGGA